rnacentral:rRNA from 1 species
UGGUGCGGAUGCCCAGUGCUUUGUGAUAUACUUUCGAAGAGUCGAGUUGUUUGGGAAUGCAGCUCAAAUUGGGUGGUAAAUUCCAUCUAAAGCUAAAUAUUGGCGAGAGACCGAUAGCGAACAAGUACCGUGAGGGAAAGAUGAAAAGCACUUUGGAAAGAGAGUUAACAGUACGUGAAAUUGUUGGAAGGGAAACGCUUGAAGUCAGACUUGCAUUUUGGAGUUCAGCCGCAAGGUGUAUUCUUCAAUUCGCAGGCCAGCAUCAGUUUUCGGGGGUGGAAAAGCGCGGUUUGAAGGUAGCAGUCUCGGCUGUGUUAUAGCUUUCCGCUGGAUUCACUUUUGGGGACUGAGGAAUGCAGUACGCUUUUUGCAAGAUUCUAGAGUCUUUCGUACUUAAGAUGCUGGUGGAAUGG